GCCUCUGCUAAGAGGAGGAAGGAAUGGGCAACGGUAGGUCAGCAUGCCCCGAAUUAUCUGGGCUACACGCGGGCUACAAUGGGUGGGACAAUGGGUAUCGACACCGAAAGGUGAAGGCAAUCUCCUAAACCCAUCCGUAGUUCGGAUUGUGGGCUGCAACUCGCCCACAUGAAGCUGGAAUCUGUAGUAAUCGUGUCUCAAAAUGGCACGGUGAAUAUGUCCCUGCUCCCUU
rnacentral:rRNA from 1 species